GACUAGAGUUUGAUCCUGGCUCAGAACGAACGCUGGCGGCGUGCUUAAUACAUGCAAGUCGAGCGAGAAAGUCCCUUUCGGGGGGCGAGUAAAGCGGCGGACGGGUGCGUAACACGUGGGCAACUUGCCCUUAAGUCCGGGACAAGCUUCCGAAAGGAGGUCUAAUACCGGAUGUGGUUUCUGGAAGGCAUCUUCCGGCAAUCAAAGAUAGCCACUACUCGUAAGCUAUCGCUUAAGGAUGGGCCCGCGGCCCAUUAGCUAGUUGGCGGGGUAACGGCCCACCAAGGCUCCGAUGGGUAGCCGGCCUGAGAGGGUGACCGGCCACACUGGGACUGAGAUACGGCCCAGACUCCUACGGGAGGCAGCAGUAGGGAAUAUUGCGCAAUGGACGAAAGUCUGACGCAGCAACGCCGUGUGAGCGAUGAAGGUCUUCGGAUCGUAAAGCUCUGUCAGGAGGGACGAACCGUCCCACGUAAACAAACGUGGGGCCUGACGGUACCUCCAGAGGAAGCACCGGCCAACUCCGUGCCAGCAGCCGCGGUAA
rnacentral:rRNA from 1 species